rnacentral:tRNA from 1 species
GGAGGUGUGACUCAGCAGUAGAGUACCUAGCUACAAAUCAUGAAGUCCUGGGUUCAAAUCCCAGUAACCCCC